rnacentral:rRNA from 1 species
UGGGGAAUUUUGGACAAUGGGCGAAAGCCUGAUCCAGCCAUGCCGCGUGAGUGAAGAAGGCCUUCGGGUUGUAAAGCUCUUUUAGUCGGAAAGAAAGAGUUGCAAUGAAUAAUUGUGAUUUAUGACGGUACCGACAGAAAAAGCACCGGCUAACUACGUGCCAGCAGCCGCGGUAAUACGUAGGGUGCGAGCGUUAAUCGGAAUUACUGGGCGUAAAGGGUGCGCAGGCGGUCUUGCAAGUCAGAUGUGAAAGCCCCGGGCUUAACCUGGGAACUGCGUUUGAAACUACAAGACUAGAGUGCAGCAGAGGGGAGUGGAAUUCCAUGUGUAGCAGUGAAAUGCGUAGAGAUGUGGAAGAACACCGAUGGCGAAGGCAGCUCCCUGGGUUGACACUGACGCUCAUGCACGAAAGCGUGGGGAGCAAACA